rnacentral:rRNA from 1 species
GAUGAACGCUGGCGGCGUGCCUAAUACAUGCAAGUAGAACGCUGAAGCUUGGUGCUUGCACCGAGCGGAUGAGUUGCGAACGGGUGAGUAACGCGUAGGUAACCUGCCUGGUAGCGGGGGAUAACUAUUGGAAACGAUAGCUAAUACCGCAUAACAGUAGAUAUUGCAUGAUAUCUGCUUGAAAGGUGCAAUUGCAUCACUACCAGAUGGACCUGCGUUGUAUUAGCUAGUUGGUGAGGUAACGGCUCACCAAGGCGACGAUACAUAGCCGACCUGAGAGGGUGAUCGGCCACACUGGGACUGAGACACGGCCCAGACUCCUACGGGAGGCAGCAGUAGGGAAUCUUCGGCAAUGGACGGAAGUCUGACCGAGCAACGCCGCGUGAGUGAAGAAGGUUUUCGGAUCGUAAAGCUCUGUUGUAAGAGAAGAACGAGUGUGAGAGUGGAAAGUUCACACUGUGACGGUAUCUUACCA